UGAGGAAUAUUGGUCAAUGGGCGAGAGCCUGAACCAGCCAAGUCGCGUGAAGGAUGACUGUCUUAUGGAUUGUAAACUUCUUUUGUAGGGGAAUAAAGAACGGUACGUGUACCGUAGUGAAUGUACCCUACGAAUAAGCAUCGGCUAACUCCGUGCCAGCAGCCGCGGUAAUACGGAGGAUGCGAGCGUUAUCCGGAUUUAUUGGGUUUAAAGGGUGCGUAGGCGGCCUGUUAAGUCAGCGGUGAAAUCUAGGAGCUUAACUCCUAAAUUGCCAUUGAUACUGGCGGGCUUGAGUGUAGAUGAGGUAGGCGGAAUGCGUGGUGUAGCGGUGGAAUGCAUAGAUAUCACGCAGAACUCCGAUUGCGAAGGCAGCUUACUAAGGUACAACUGACGCUGAAGCACGAAAGCGUGGGUAUCAAACA
rnacentral:rRNA from 1 species